rnacentral:tRNA from 1 species
GCCCGGGUAGUUCAGCGGCAGAACGGAUCCAUGGUAAGGAUCAAAGGAGAGUUCGACUCUCUCUCCGGGCUCCA